UCACUUACCUGGACGGGGUCAAUGGAUGAUCAAGAAGGUCCAUGGCCUAGGUUGGUGACCUCCAUUGCACUCAGGAGGGGUGCCCGCCUAAGGUCGGCCCAAGUGGUCGAGCCUACGUCAUAAUUUGUGGCAGUGGAGGCCUGCGUUCGCGCGGCCUCUGC
rnacentral:snRNA from 1 species